ACACCUUCUGAUGUUGGCAUUGCAGCAUGUCGAUAAUUUUUGUAAAGCUGAAUUUGAUAUAUUUGCAAAUGUGGAAGCGGCAUAAUCAAUUUUGGCACGAACAAAGGCUUUAUAAAGAUGGAUGGCUCUGCUUGGUGAUAUCCCGAACUUACAACCACUGAUGAUGUUGAGGAAGCGACACGUCUUGUAUUUGAUGUGCCGCACUUGUUCCAAACGAACAUUAUUUAUUUGGAUAUUUAACUGGGCGCUCCUUUGGUUGAAGAUUUGCUGAGCUUGUUCCUUUUUACUAUGAUAACAUACCAGAAAAAAAUCGUCGGCAAACUGGAAGAGUUCGCACCCUCGGCCAACUAACUCAUGGAUCUUCGCUGUGUAGAUGUUAAAGAGGGUAGGACUAAGUCCACUACCUUGUGCUAAUCCGUUUCCUGUUACAAUUUUUUGCUGCUCCAGUAUAAGAAAAUAUCAAAACUUCCGUUACAAUUUCAACACAAAUUAUUUGGUACAAACGAAUUCACUCCGAGCGUAUAUUCACGAUGCGAACAGUUAGGCCUCAGUAUAUC